GCCCGCAACCCAGGCAUAUGUUCCUGACCGGAAUCGAACCCGGAACCCUUUCACUGAGCCAGAUUGGCUAGGGUGAUGUGCCACAAUUUGACAUCUUUUGUUAUUAGACAUUUGCAUUCUUUCCAGUUUUAUUCUCUUUUGCCUUCAUGAGAAACACCUUAUACGAGGAUUCUUAUUGCUUCAGAAAGCUUCCUGGAUUGUGGCCAGCCUUUAAGCAUAUUGGAGGCAGCACCUGUCUUAUUCCUCCUUGUAUCCCCACAGCCCCUGAAAUGGAAGAAUCUCUGACUCCAGAGGGAUUGGGAGAUUAUGUAAACGCAAAGGUCCCACCCACCCUGGUGGGAUGGAAAAGAUUCAGAUGGCCUCACUCCUGAGAAAUGCUGCCCUGGGACCCACCCAGCAUCCUGAGGACCAGAAUUGCCUUUUGAAGAAGACAGACUCCUGUGGCCCAGCGAAAACAACUACAUCCAAAUUUCUAGGGGCAGACCUUAGGAAUCUCCUGGUACCCUAGCAACUAGAACCCUGGGACCUGAAUCCAACUGCCUGCAGCAAACACUCGAAUCUCCACCAAAGACUAAUCCAGCCUUGGCCUGAACUUGGGGAAAAGCAAUUUCACCCGCCCCAAACGGCUCAUCCUACUGCUACACCUCCAGCUCUACUUACAGCAAUAUUGUUAUCAGGUCUUUGGCUCCUGCCCCCAGGUUGCCCUUGCCGGCCCUCCCAGCCCCAGCUUGUACCUGGACGCCCUCCUCACUCUGUACCUUCCCAGGUGGGGAUAAUGUUCCCCCGUCUUCUCGGGGUUAUUGUGAAAAAACCAGAGGGCUAAUGAGCACAAACCAUAAGGUACUCAACUUAUACCAGGCGCAAGCUCCUCAACAAAGGAACCUCCUCCUCUCUGCUCUUCCUGGGCUCCCAGCUCCUGAGGUAUCCAUCCAUGUGCCCCAACAAGGCAACAAAGGAUCGUCCAGGUCUCUGGGAAGGGACUGACCGACCACUUGGCACCACCUAGUGGUCCAUGGUGUGUGGUGCUUGCCCAGGGUGCUCUGAGAUUGAGGGUUUGAGCAUGACCAUUGGCCCCGUGGGGGUGGGCAGAAUAUGCCAGCCCCUCGGAAAGGAUGAGGUCAUGCCUAGCUAAGCCCUCCCCUGGCCACUCCCCUGAGGAUACAUGACGGUGGGCACUCUACCAGUCCCCAUCUCAGCCCACAUCUCACUCCCAAGGGGAGGCCAAGGGCUCUCUUCCAGCUCUGCCGCUGCCUCACUCCCAGGACUCAGCCGCCUCCCCUGCAGAAUUGGAGUAACCAUCCCCUGCCUCUCAAGGAGCCUGGAACGGUGGUGUGUUCUUUCAUGUAUCAGCCAUUUUAUGAAGUGUCUCCUUUCUAAAGUCAUCAUGCUGAGAGCUGUGGGGACACAAGGGCUGCUAAGCCAAGUUUCUUGCUACCAAGGCACCUGCCUUAUUCUAGGCCCGUGGUUGGCAAACUG